ensembl:miRNA
GGUUGGUGCAAAAGUAACUGCGGUUUUUGCCAUUGGCAAAUAGCGUAUGGCGAAAACCGCAAUUACUUUUGCAC